CAUCUGCACACAUUAGCGCAAUAUUUUUAAUGGGUUGAUGACCUGUCAAAUCAAAAUCAAAUCACUUUUAUUGUCACAUCACAUUUCUAGUACACUGGUACAGCGCAUGUGAGUGAGAUUCUUUUGUGCAAGCCUCACAAGCAACAGUGGUGUGCAAAAUACAAGAAUGUAAGAAACAAGCCAAUUAUAAGAGCAGGAAUGUGAGAGUUGUGAGAAAUAUAUGUACAAUUUUAAGGAUGUAUGCACAAAAAAAAAUGUAUGUUUUUAUGUCAAAAAUAGCCAAGUCAGCUGUUGAAUAUUGUGCAAAAGAAAUGGCAUAUAGGUACAAAAUGGAGUGCAUAGUGUUGGAUUCCCGGUAGGUGAGAGUGAGGUGUCUAUGAAGUGUCACUGUUCCAUCAGGUGGCCUGAUGGAAAAAGCUGUUGCUCAGUCUGCAGGUUCAGGACCAGAUGCUACAGUACUUCCUGUCUGAUGGAAGUAGUUUAAAUAGUUUAUGGCGGGGGUGACUGGAGUCUUUGAUGAUCUCCCCCGCUUUCCUCAGGCACUGCUUCCUGUAGAUGCCCUGGAGGGAGGGACGCUCACCUCCAGUUAUCCGCUCAGAACAUCGCACCACUCUCUGAACAGUUUUGCGGUUGUAAGUGGUGCUGUUGCCAUACCAGGUAGCGAUGCAUCCAGGGAGAAUGCUCUCAACGGCACAGUGGUAGAAAGUCCGGAGGAUGUGGGCGCUCAUGCCGAAUCUCUUUAGUCUCGUGAGGAGGAAGAGGCACUGGUGCGCCUUCUUCACUGCUUUGUUUGUGUGUACUGACAGAUCCUCUGCCAGACGUACAUCUAGGAAACAGAAGCUGCUCACUCGCUCCACAGCAAUGCUAUUGAUGGUGAUGGGGGUAUGUGCUUCUUUACCCCUCCGCCAGUCCACUAUCAAUCCCUUGUCUUCGUGACGUUGAGGGUGAGAUGGUUCUCAUGACACCAAUGAGCCAGAGCACUGACCUCCUCCCUGUAAGCUGUCUCGUCACUUUUGGUGAUAAGGCCCACCACUGUUGUGUCAUCCGCAAACUUCACGGUGAUGCUGGAGUUGCUAGUGGCCGUGCAGUCAUGGGUGUAGAGUGAGUACAGGAGAGGGCUCAGUACACACCCCUGUGGAGCACCAGUGUUCAUUUUUACAGUUGAUGAGGUGAUGCUGCCCAAUCUGACCAACUGGCAUCUGUCAGAGAGGAAGUUAAGGAUCCAGCUGCAGAGGGAGCUGCUCAGUCAUAGAUUCUGCAGUUUCCUGUCCAGCUUCGAAGGAACAAUGGUAUUGAAUGCUGAGCUGUAAUCUACAAACAGCAUUCUCACAUACGUGUCUCUCUUCUCCAGGUGCGAGAGGGCAGUAUGUAGUGUUAGGGCUAUGGCGUCAUCAGUGGACCUGUUGUAGCGGAAUGCUACAGAGGGUCCAGUGACUUGGGUAGUGCAGAGAAGUUGAAGUCCCUGACCAGCCUCUUGAAGCAUUUGCUCAUGAUGGGGGUCAGGGCUACCAGUCGCCAGUCAUUCAGUGAUGAGAUGGUGGAGGAUUUGGGUACAGGGACGAUGGUAGCCAUUUUGAAGGAGGCUGGGACUACAGACAGCGAGAGGGGAAGGUUGAAGGUGUGUGUAAACACUCCAGCCAGCUGAGCCGCGGAAGACUUGAGUACUGCUAGCUUUGCGCGUAUUCACCUGUCUGAAACACCUCCGCACAUCCUCCACAGACACAGUGUGCACGCUGAUGUCAUACCCAAUGCGUACCCUGUCCAGUCUUGCUGUGUUUCCUGGGUCAAAUCUAGCGUAGAAUACGUUUAGAUCCUCAGAGAGAGGCCAUGGACUGCGGUCUGCUGAUUUUCCCUCUAAAGUCUGUGAUUGUGUUUAGUCCCUGCCACAUACUCAGAGGAUUGUCAAAUUGUUAUUCCACUCUGUCCUUGUACUUAUAUUUCACUGUUUUAAUUGUCUUACUGACUUGGCAAUGUGCGUGUUUGUAGUCCGAUGUGUUCACGGAGGCAAAAGCAGCGUUCCGUGCCGCCAGUGCCGCGUGAACAUUGCUGUUAAUCAACAGUUUUUGAUUUGGGUAAACCUUAACUGUUCUGGAUGGGACAACAUCUUCCACACAUUUCUUUAUAAAUCCGCAGACUGAGUCUGUGUACUCAUCAAUGUCGUCAGCAGCCAUCAAAACAGUCCUGCAGCAAGAACUCUGAUUGGUCGGACCAACAGUGGACCGGUCGUGAUAAAACCGCCUUUGGGUGUGCGGUUCUCUGACUGCUGAUCGCGCUGUAGUUCCCGGAGUACUCGGUCGGUGUCAGCUUGUGGGGGAAUGUAAACAGCCGUAAUGAUCAUUGCUGUAAAAUCCCUCGGUAGCCAGAAUGGCCGGCACUUCAGGUACGGGUGCACAUUCGCAUAAUCACACAAGCUGUUGUUGAGCAUGAAACAUAUACCACUGCCUCUGCUUUUCCCAAUUAGUGCCUGUGACCUGUCUGUGCAGUGCACAGAGAACCCUGGUAGUUGUAUGGCAGAGUCCGGUACCUUGUGGAAUAGCCAGGUUUCUGUGAGGCACAUCACGCAGCAGUGCCACAUCUCUUACUGGAAUGAGAUCCAUGCCCGAAGUUCACACAGCUUGUUCCCCAGAGACUGCGCCGUAUCAGUUGAACGAGAACACCAGAUCUUCUGCUUCUGCGUUUGCGGCCUCCAGGGGCCCAGCACAAAGGCAAGAUGAAUGGGGGGGUCUGCAAACUUGAACUCCAGAGAACGAUGAGAGAGUCUAGCUCUUAUGUUCAGUAAAGUUUGGUGGUCAUAUACAAAAAAACCAUAAUGUUACUGGUGGAAAAAAUAAGGUAAAAGUAAAAUCAAACACAAAAAGCAACUGUUGCUUGAGGGAGCUCGUGACAAGGCUGCCAUACUCGGUGCCAUCUUGGUCUAGAGAAACCACAAUUGAGGUUGCAGCUCAGAAGCUUUGGAAAAACCUUUUUCAUUACACCAAAUUUGCUCAGGAUUAAUUUUUCCAUGUUUCUCGCUUUCACCCGUUUGUCAUUGGAUAAAGCAUCUUUAUGGUUACCCAAGUGAUUGUUGCGCAAGACAAUUUUGACAUCUUCAGAGGUCCAGGUCCUACAACAGGUCCUUUCCUGAAUAAUAGAUUUUGCUAGUCAGAAACAAUGUCCACAUAAUCGUUAGUAAUAGCAAAAGAAAAAAAAAAAAAAAAGAAUUAAACAGGAAACAAAGUGACCAUGAAGGAAUUUUUUUCCAAGUUUUCACCAGAGUAUAUAUUUUUUUAAGCUGUUGGAGCAUUUCUGAGUACCCGCAGUAACCUCCAUGUGUUAAUUGUUGUCCUGAAUGCCGUUAAAGGCUGAACCAUACAUUCAUCUCUUUAACCGAGUGACACUCACCGUGUUAAAAUUUAAAAAAAACAAAAGUAGAUCAGGUGCAUACUGAGCCAAAAACGAGACGGGUUAGCGGUGGCCCUAGCCUAAUUGGGUUUGUGGAAAUUUGUGACUAAUAGCCAUCCUUCUGAAUGGCAAAGUGUAUCGCGUGAUCUGAGGAGACAUGAUAAAAGCCACACCAGCUGCAUAUAAUUUUGUUUAGAUUACAGUGCCCAGCAUUUCAGCAGACUCAUGUAACAAUACUUACAGUGCGGACAUUAAAAUAAAACGUACACCACGCAUUUAAAAAUUCUUUAUUUCAGUUUCGCAAUAAUAGCAAUAGGUUGCGUAUGAUGAACGCAGCACUGGUACUCGACGGGUGAUCGCUUGUCGUCGGCAGUGAUGGGCGCCAGUCCUUGACGAGUGCUCCCAGUGACUGGGACUGGUCCUCAACGGAUGACCCCUUGUCGUCGGCAGUGAUGGGCGCCGGUCCUCGACGGGUGACCCCUUGUCGUCGGCAGUGAUGGGCGCCGGUCCUCGACGGGUGACCCCUUGUCGUCGGCAGUGAUGGGCGCCGGUCCUCGACGGGUGACCCCUUGUCGUCGGCAGUGAUGGGCGCCGGUCCUCGACGGGUGCUCACUUGUCGUCGACAGUGAUGGGCGCCGGUCCUCGACGGGUGCUCACUUGUCGUCGACAGUGAUGGGCGCCGGUCCUCGACGGGUGCUCACUUGUCGUCGACAGUGAUGGGCGCCGGUCCUCGACGGGUGCUCACUUGUCGUCGGCAGUGAUGGGCGCCGGUCCUUGACGAGUGCUCCCAGUGACUGGGACUGGUCCUCGACGGGUGACCCCUUGUCGUCGGCAGCGAUGGGCGCCGGUCCUCGACGGGUGACCCCUUGUCGUCGGCAGCGAUGGCGCGCGGUCUCGACGAGUGCUCCCAGUGACUGGGACUGGUCCUCAACGGGUGACCCCUUGUCGUCGGCAGCGAUGGGCGCCGGUCCUCGACGGGUGACCCCUUGUCGUCGGCAGCGAUGGGCGCCGGUCCUCGACGGGUGCUCCCAGUGACCAGCACUGGUCCUCGACGGGUGAUCCCUUGUCGUCUGCAGUGAGGGGCGCCGGUCCUUAACGGGUACUUGCAGUUUGGGAGCUGGCCCUCAUCUGCUGCGAUGUGUGCCGCCCUUGACUAGUGCUCCCAAUGACGGGCACUGGCGCUCAAUGUGUGCUCGCUUGUUGUCCUCAGUAAUGGGAACCUUC